rnacentral:rRNA from 1 species
GAGUUUGAUCCUGGCUCAGAUUGAACGCUGGCGGCAUGCCUUACACAUGCAAGUCGAACGGCAGCACGGGAGCAAUCCUGGUGGCGAGUGGCGAACGGGUGAGUAAUGUAUCGGAACGUGCCCAGUCGUGGGGGAUAACGUAGCGAAAGCUACGCUAAUACCGCAUACGAUCUAUGGAUGAAAGCGGGGGAUCGCAAGACCUCGCGCGAUUGGAGCGGCCGAUGUCGGAUUAGCUAGUUGGUGGGGUAAAGGCUCACCAAGGCGACGAUCCGUAGCUGGUCUGAGAGGACGACCAGCCACACUGGAACUGAGACACGGUCCAGACUCCUACGGGAGGCAGCAGUGGGGAAUUUUGGACAAUGGGGGCAACCCUGAUCCAGCCAUUCCGCGUGAGUGAAGAAGGCCUUCGGGUUGUAAAGCUCUUUCGGCAGGAACGAAAAGGCGGGCUCUAACAUAGCCUGUCAAUGACGGUACCUGAAGAAGAAGCACCGGCUAACUACGUGCCAGCAGCCGCGGUAAUACGUAGGGUGCGAGCGUUAAUCGGAAUUACUGGGCGUAAAGCGUGCGCAGGCGGUUUUGUAAGACAGGUGUGAAAUCCCCGGGCUUAACCUGGGAACUGCGCUUGUGACUGCAAGACUUGAGUGCGGCAGAGGGGGGUGGAAUUCCACGUGUAGCAGUGAAAUGCGUAGAGAUGUGGAGGAACACCGAUGGCGAAGGCAGCCCCCUGGGUCGACACUGACGCUCAUGCACGAAAGCGUGGGUAGCAAACAGGAUUAGAUACCCUGGUAGUCCACGCCCUAAACGAUGCCAACUAGGUGUUGGGGAAGGAGACUUCCUUAGUACCGUAGCUAACGCGUGAAGUUGGCCGCCUGGGGAGUACGGUCGCAAGAUUAAAACUCAAAGGAAUUGACGGGGACCCGCACAAGCGGUGGAUGAUGUGGGAUAAUUCGAUGCACGCGAAAACCUUACCUACCCUUGACAUGCCAGGAAUCCCGCUGAGAGGUGGGAGUGCUCGAAAAGAAGAACCUGGACCCAGGUUGCUUGCAUGGGCUGGUCGUUCAGCUCGUGUCGGGAAGAUGUGGGGUUAAAGUCCCGCACGAGGCGCACCUUUGGUCAAUUAAGUUGCAUCAUUCAGUGGGCAACUCUUAGUAGAACUGCCGGGUGACACGGGAGUAGGGUGGGGAAUGAAGUUCUAGUUCUCUCUAUGUGCCCCUAUAUGGUGGUA